rnacentral:misc_RNA from 1 species
GUCGAAAUGGUGCCAGAGGUGCUUCUGGUCGUUGUAUUUUCCAUAUAUGUGAAGAAAUAAAAAUAAAUAACCACUGUUAAUACAAUACAGAUAUGCCCUGCAAAGACUACGCUUAUCAAUGGGCAAAUCAAACGCAUUGCAAGUCGAAUACUCCAUCUGUGUAUCAUAAUCAAAUGAAGAAAGAUUACAAAGUAUGUGCGAAAAUGGAUAUUUCAAAUUUAAAGAACGUUUAUCAUUCACCAGUGUAAUAACUGAGGUACCAUCUCACA